rnacentral:rRNA from 1 species
GCCUUGAGAGAACUAUGCUGAAGGAACUCGGCAAAUUGCAUGCGUAACUUCGGGAUAAGCAUGACUUCAUUCUGGGCAACCAGGAUGGAGUGGCACAGAAUUGGGGGUGGCGACUGUUUAUUAAAAACACAGGGCUCUGCGAAGUUGUAAAACGACGUAUAGGGUCUGACGCCUGCCCGGUGCCGGAAGGUUAAAUGGAGGGGUGCAAGCUCUGAAAUGAAGCCCCGGUAAACGGCGGCCGUAACAAUAACGGUCCUAAGGUAGCGAAAUUCCUUGUCGGGUAAGUUCCGACCUGCACGAAUGGCGUAACGAUCUCCCUACUGUCUCCAGCAUAGACUCAGCGAAAUUGAAUUCCCCGUGAAGAUGCGGGGUUCCUGCGGUCAGACGGAAAGACCCCAUGCACCUUUACUAUAGCUUUGCGCUGGCAUUCGUGUCGGCAUGUGCAGGAUAGGUGGUAGGCUUUGAAGCCGGGACGCUAGUUCUGGUGGAGCCAAAAGAUGAGAUACCACCCUUAUCGUCAUGGAUGUCUAACCGCGGCAUAACAGUGCCCGGGACAGCGCAUGGUGGGUAGUUUGACUGGGGCGGUCGCCUCCCAAAGAGUAACGGAGGCGCGCGAUGGUGGGCUCAGACCGGUCGGAAAUCGGUCGCUGAGUGCAAUGGCAUAAGCCUGCCUGACUGCGAGACUGACAAGUCGAGCAGAGACGAAAGUCGGUCAUAGUGAUCCGGUGGUCCCGCGUGGAAGGGCCAUCGCUCAACGAAUAAAAGGUACGCUGGGGAUAACAGGCUGAUACUGCCCAAGAGUCCAUAUCGACGGCAGUGUUUGGCACCUCGAUGUCGGCUCAUCACAUCCUGGGGCUGGAGCAGGUCCCAAGGGUAUGGCUGUUUGCCAUUUAAAGUGGUACGUGAGCUGGGUUUAAAACGUCGUGAGACAGUUUGGUCCCUAUCUGCCGUGGGUGUUGGAAUAUUGAGAAGAGCUGCCCCUAGUACGAGAGGACCGGGGUGGACGAACCUCUGGUGGACCUGUUGUGGCGCCAGCCGCAUUGCAGGGUAGCUAUGUUCGGACGGGAUAACCGCUGAAAGCAUCUAAGCGGGAAGCCUCCUUCAAAACUAGUAUUCCCUUGAGAGCCGUGGGAGACCACCACGUUGAUAGGCCGGAUGUGGAAGCGCAGCAAUGUGUGAAGCUGACCGGUACUAAUAGCUC